GGAGAGGUGCAGGAGUGGUUGAUCUGGCCGCUCUCGAAAAGCGGUGCCCCGCUCAGCGGGGCCGUGGGUUCGAAUCCCACCCUCUCCG
rnacentral:tRNA from 1 species